CGCUGAUGUUUGGUGUUUACACUAGACUGAUGAGUUGCGAACGGGUGAGUAACGCGUAGGUAACCUGCCUCAUAGCGGGGGAUAACUAUUGGAAACGAUAGCUAAUACCGCAUAAGAGUGAUUAACACAUGUUAGUUAUUUAAAAGGAGCAAUUGCUUCACUGUGAGAUGGACCUGCGUUGUAUUAGCUAGUUGGUGAGGUAAAGGCUCACCAAGGCGACGAUACAUAGCCGACCUGAGAGGGUGAUCGGCCACACUGGGACUGAGACACGGCCCAGACUCCUACGGGAGGCAGCAGUAGGGAAUCUUCGGCAAUGGACGGAAGUCUGACCGAGCAACGCCGCGUGAGUGAAGAAGGUUUUCGGAUCGUAAAGCUCUGUUGUUAGAGAAGAACGUUGGUAGGAGUGGAAAAUCUACCAAGUGACGGUAACUAACCAGAAAGGGACGGCUAACUACGUGCCAGCAGCCGCGGUAAUACGUAGGGUGCGAGCGUUGUCCGGAAUUACUGGGCGUAAAGGGCUCGUAGGUGGUUUGUCGCGUCGUCUGUGAAAUUCCGGGGCUUAACUCCGGGCGUGCAGGCGAUACGGGCAUAACUUGAGUACUGUAGGGGUAACUGGAAUUCCUGGUGUACGGUGAAAUGCGCAGAUAUCCGGAGGAACACCGAUGGCGAAGGCAGGUUACUGGGCAGUUACUGACGCUGAGGAGCGAAAGCAUGGGUAGCGAACCAGGAUUAGAUACCCUGGUAAGUCCAUGCCGUAAACGGUGGGGCCCUAGGUGU
rnacentral:rRNA from 1 species